UACAAUACUACAUCGCCUCCCUCACGAGUCACGAACCAUGGAACCAGCGCCGCCGCUUCCUAGCUAGGGUUGGACGGAGGGCCGGCCAUGGAGUUGGAGAUGCAGAGGACGAACGGGAGCAGAGGGGGUAUGUCGCUCCACGAUGGUGGUCAUCUACCUCCGGUCCACUUCCCCGUCCGCGCGGCCGGAUCUCCACCCCCUAAACUUCCCUGACCAGAUCAAGCAAUUGUUCCUCCCCGAUCAGUUCGUCGACCUCGAGAUGCAACCCGUAUGCCGCUCCUGCAGUUCCUUGUAGAACUGAUCCUCCCUGACCUACAGCCGUAGUCGUUCGUCUUCGUUCGGCCAUCAUUGAUGAAGAGAAGAAUUACAAGAGCGCGUUGCCUAAGUGGACGCUCCCACAUGACCAUGAGGCUGUUGAAAAAGGCAUGUGAGGAGAUCUACGAACUGAUGAAAUUUAACAUCCACAUGAAUAUCAAGGGCCGGUCAAUUGGACAAACAUUUAAGAGUAUCUGUCAAGCUGCACGCAUGAUGCUGAAGGUCAAGAUUAGCAUUUUCCUGAAAUUUUCAUUAGCUGAUGGUAAUUUUUUAUAGGUCUCGGGAUACCCGAUCAGUUGAAAUCUAAGAAUGCGCACAGGUACAGUCGUUUUGUUGUUCAUAGGGUAAAUAAUAAGAAUGGAUACAUGUUUGUGAUAUUGCAUAAAUAGGCAUCAUUCUUCACACCAAGAGGAUGGAAAGAUUUUCUUUGACAACAUGGCAGCACCUGUUUACUAUCCAUGGCUAUACUCUGCAUCAUCAUCAAGUUUUGGGUACUUCGUGUUGCAACUUAUUUUACAAUCUUGAAUAUUGUUUUGUCAGAAAUAACUAAAGUGGUUCCUUAUUCUGCCAUCCACAAUAUGUUUCGUAGUUCUUGGUCGUCUCUGCUCCGCCCCGCACGCGGACAAAUGGGCCAAGCCCAAUAAAGCACAGUAACCAUCACCUCCCCUGACCACGUCCUAGAUUUCGAGAAAUCCACAGACCCUCGCACCCUCCUCCAGAGAUCUUGGGUGCCCUAACAUGCGUGGCCGGGGAGGAUCCCGACCGAAAGGAAUGGGUCGGUCUCCCGACGGCGAGGUAGGAGGGACGUAGGAGCGAGCGAAGAUCCGGCCAAGCCGGCGCCAUUGGUCAUGGCCGCGGCGGCAGCGACGACCCCAUCCAAGUCCGCCUUCCGUGGUGGUCCUAUUCCUUCCAGCUCGCUCCGAGAGGGGAUCCGACCGCCUCUCCUUCAUCACCGGUCAGGCGAGCAUCCUCCCCUCCGACCCAUACCGAUGUAACCACAGGGGAGCAAAAUUAUUUUGGGGGAUUCGGAAGCUUGUGCGUGCACGCCAGAUUGGAUUAGACUGUAGCUGCGUUGGAUAACUUAGUCCUGUUUCAUGUUAUUUAAAGUGCUCAUGUGCUCUAGAUCUCUUCGAUUGGUUAGCAGAUUUAGAUUUUAGAACAUCUGGUGCCACAUAUAUUACACGUUUCGUCCUGCGGAAUCUUAGGUUUCAGAUCACUGGACAUGAGAUUUUGUUAUUUAGAGUGUUGGCAGCGGAGGAUUUAUUGGAUGCAUAACCUGAUUCUCUUUAGAUAUUCUUUUGCGUUACACUUUUCUUAUCAGUAUGCAAAGGUGUGUUAAUGUUUUGUUGUAUUGAUAAACCUUCUCCCAAAUAUAUGUAUUUGAGCUGUACGUGAGGCUCGUACUAAUAAUUCUGAAAAGAAUGUGAGCCCUCCUCCCGAGUCACUAUUGCUAUGAGAUGUGUCUUGUUACCUGCACUUCUUUUUCUAGCACUUAGAGAGAUGUGCAUGCUUAAACAUUAAGUUUGGGAUUUGGUGGACGUCAAAUAGCUCAAAUUUACGCACAGUAUGACUCAGUUUACUCUUUUGAUACGUCCAGAAUAUCUGGUGUUGACAUGGAAGAAGCCCCUAUGCCGGCACUUCCAAGUUUCAGAUAUCGUCUUCUUCAGGACCCCUACAUCUUUGAGAUCCUUACAUGUAGGAACGUGAAGUAGGUCUGGCAGGACGGACAGAGGGAAGGUGAGGAAAGCUCCCUAAGCCGAAGGAGAGAUGGUGCCCGGAGGAGCACUAGCGCUUCCUCGACAGUCUCCUCAGGUCAGUACAGCGUCAUGCCAUGAAGACAUGUCCUAUUCUGCUCUGAACUAGCUAAUCUGCAGUCCCUGAACUAGCUGAUUGAUUUGUGUGGAUUUCAGGUUUGACGGCGCCUAGAAGAAGAUCGAGGAGCACAUCUGCACCAAGACCGUGGUACUGGUAAUCCAAAUUCAUUCCCGCUCAUUAUGUAGAAGCUUGGCCUUGCCACCAGGCUUCCGCCGCAAUACCCAAGCCGCAGGCUUGCCGUGCCGCAGCCGCCG